AUUCUAGUAGUUGAAUUGGAAACCCUCUUUUCAAAGGAGGGGAAGGGGGUUCGAAUCCCUCCUAGAGUU
rnacentral:tRNA from 1 species